AGAUUGAACGCUAGCGGGAUGCUUUACACAUGCAAGUCGAACGGCAGCGCGGACUUCGGUCUGGCGGCGAGUGGCGAACGGGUGAGUAAUAUAUCGGAACGUGCCCAGUAGCGGGGGGAUAACUACGCGAAAGCGUGGCUAAUACCGCAUACGCCCUACGGGGGAAAGGGGGGGAUCGCAAGACCUCUCACUAUUGGAGCGGCCGAUAUCAGAUUAGCUAGUUGGUGAGGUAAAGGCUCACCAAGGCGACGAUCUGUAGCUGGUUUGAGAGGACGACCAGCCACACUGGGACUGAGACACGGCCCAGACUCCUACGGGAGGCAGCAGUGGGGAAUUUUGGACAAUGGGGGAAACCCUGAUCCAGCCAUCCCGCGUGUGCGAUGAAGGCCUUCGGGUUGUAAAGCACUUUGGCAGGAAGAAACGCGUGCCCGUAAUACGGACGUCACUGACGGUACCUGCGAGAAUAAGCACCGGCUAACUACGUGCCAGCAGCCGCGGUAAUCUA
rnacentral:rRNA from 1 species